rnacentral:rRNA from 1 species
UACGGAGGGGGCGAGCGUUAUUCGGAAUUAUUGGGCGUAAAGGGCGCGUAGGCGGCCCGGUAAGUCAAAGGUGAAAUCCCUCAGCUCAACUGAGGAACUGCCUUUGAAACUGUCGGGCUUGAGGCCGGGAGGGGGUAGCGGAAUUCCCAGUGUAGCGGUGAAAUGCGUAGAUACUGGGAGGAACACCGGUGGCGAAGGCGGCAUCCUGGACCAACACUGACACUGAUGAGCGAAAGCCAGGGGAGCAAACGGG